UGGGGAAUUUUGGACAAUGGGCGAAAGCCUGAUCCAGCAAUGCCGCGUGUGUGAAGAAGGCCUUCGGGUUGUAAAGCACUUUUGUCCGGAAAGAAAUCCUCGGCUCUAAUACAUCGGGGGGAUGACGGUACCGGAAGAAUAAGCACCGGCUAACUACGUGCCAGCAGCCGCGGUAAUACGUAGGGUGCAAGCGUUAAUCGGAAUUACUGGGCGUAAAGCGUGCGCAGGCGGUUUGCUAAGACCGAUGUGAAAUCCCCGGGCUCAACCUGGGAACUGCAUUGGUGACUGGCAGGCUAGAGUAUGGCAGAGGGGGGUAGAAUUCCACGUGUAGCAGUGAAAUGCGUAGAGAUGUGGAGGAAUACCGAUGGCGAAGGCAGCCCCCUGGGCCAAUACUGACGCUCAUGCACGAAAGCGUGGGGGAGCAAACAGGAUUAGAUACCCUGGUAGUCCACGCCCUAAACGAUGUCAACUAGUUGUUGGGGAUUCAUUUCCUUAGUAACGUAGCUAACGCGUGAAGUUGACCGCCUGGGGAGUACGGUCGCAAGAUUAAAACUCAAAUGAAUUGACGGGGUCAUA
rnacentral:rRNA from 1 species